rnacentral:rRNA from 1 species
GAUGAACGCUGGCGGCGUGCCUAAUACAUGCAAGUCGAGCGAACGGACGAGAAGCUUGCUUCUCUGAUGUUAGCGGCGGACGGGUGAGUAACACGUGGAUAACCUACCUAUAAGACUGGGAUAACUUCGGGAAACCGGAGCUAAUACCGGAUGAUAUUUUGAACCGCAUGGUUCAAAAGUGAAAGACGGUCUUGCUGUCACUUAUAGAUGGAUCCGCGCUGCAUUAGCUAGUUGGUAAGGUAACGGCUUACCAAGGCAACGAUGCAUAGCCGACCUGAGAGGGUGAUCGGCCACACUGGAACUGAGACACGGUCCAGACUCCUACGGGAGGCAGCAGUAGGGAAGCUUCCGCGAUGGGCGGAAGCCUGACGGAGCAACGCCGCGUGAGUGAUGAAGGUCUUCGGAUCGUAAAACUCUGUUAUUAGGGAAGAACAUAUGUGUAAGUAACUGUGCACAUCUUGACGGUACCUAAUCAGAAAGCCACGGCUAACUACGUG